ACUCUGCCUCGUGCAGAGAGUGGGAGGCCGGGAAGUUGUUCAAACUUGAUCAUUUAGAGGAAGUAAAAGUCGUAACAAGGUUUCCGUAGGUGAACCUGCGGAAGGAUCAUUACCGAGUAGCUAGCUACCUACCUCCGCUGGCCGCGAGUCAGUGAGUGAGUGGGGUGUUUACUACCGUGUGAACCGACUGAAAAAUUUUUUAGGGGUCGGCUCGUUCCGUUAAAAGGGGAGCACCGUGAUGAGCCACCGGCUGGUGAGCCUCGCCUCGCGGUGGGCUCCUGCCCCGACAGUGUUUUUUUAAAGGACACAUUUGAUGUAAAAGACUGAGCGCAGUGAGAGAGAUAUGUUCUAACAUAGAAAAAUAAAAGUGUGACAACUUUUGACGGUGGAUCUCUAGGCUCACGCAUCGAUGAAGAACGCAGCCAGCUGCGAUAAGUAGUGUGAAUUGCAGAAUUCAGUGAAUCAUCGAAUCUU
rnacentral:misc_RNA from 1 species